UCCUUCGUAGUACAACGGCUAGUAUAUCCGCUUUUCAGGCAGUUCAUCUGUAGAGCGCGGGCGACCGGGGUUCGACUCCCCGCGGGGGAA